CUCAGGACGAACGCUGGCGGCGUGCCUAAUACAUGCAAGUCGAGCGGAUUGUUCCUUCGGGAACAGUUAGCGGCGGACGGGUGAGUAACACGUAGGCAACCUGCCUGUAAGACCGGGAUAACUAUCGGAAACGAUAGCUAAGAGCGGAUAGCUGGAUGGAACGCAUGUUCUAUUCAUGAAACACGGAGCAAUCUGUGGCUUACAGAUGGGCCUGCGGCGCAUUAGCUAGUUGGUGAGGUAACGGCUCACCAAGGCGACGAUGCGUAGCCGACCUGAGAGGGUGAUCGGCCACACUGGGACUGAGACACGGCCCAGACUCCUACGGGAGGCAGCAGUAGGGAAUCUUCCGCAAUGGACGCAAGUCUGACGGAGCAACGCCGCGUGAGUGAUGAAGGUUUUCGGAUCGUAAAGCUCUGUUGCCAGGGAAGAAUGCUAAGGAGAGUAACUGCUCCUUAGGUGACGGUACCUGAGAAGAAAGCCCCGGCUAACUACGUGCCAGCAGCCGCGGUAAUACGUAGGGGGCAAGCGUUGUCCGGAAUUAUUGGGCGUAAAGCGCGCGCAGGCGGUCAUUUAAGUUUGGUGUUUAAUUCCGGGGCUCAACCCCGGGUCGCACUGAAAACUGGGUGACUUGAGUGCGGGAGAGGAAAGUGGAAUUCCACGUGUAGCGGUGAAAUGCGUAGAGAUGUGGAGGAACACCAGUGGCGAAGGCGACUUUCUGGACCGUAACUGACGC
rnacentral:rRNA from 1 species